AUCCCUUAGUAACGGCGAGCGAACCGGGAAGAGCCCAGCUUGAAAAGCGGACAUCUUCGGCAUUCGAAUUGUAGUCUGGAGAAGCGUCCUCAGCGACAGACCGGGCCCAAGUUCCCUGGAAAGGGGCGCCAGAGAGGGUGAGAGCCCCGUCGUGCCCGGACCCUGUCGCACCACAAGGCGCUGUCUACGAGUCGAGUUGUUUAAUAUAAUA
rnacentral:rRNA from 1 species